GAACCUCACUCUGGUACUUACCACGUAGGCUUGGACAACCGUUUGGCUUCCCGAACCUAUGGCAUAAACAAACAAAACAAUAAUUAUUAAUUUUAAUCACAUAAAAAAAAAUACAACACCUAAAAAGUCCUGAUCUUGUAAAUUGCUGUUACGAAAACAGAGGAGAGAGAAAACACAACACAACAGAGUAGUAGAAGAAAGUAGUAGUAGUCAUAAGAGUGUACUCAUUGAUCCUUCUGUCAUAAGCCAAAUUCAACACCAUUUCUUUCAUUUGAGAAAGAAAAAUUGUAGAAGAAGAAUCAAGAAGAUCAAGAGGCCAUUGCUUCCCCCCGAAGAUUUUACUUUCUCU
rnacentral:lncRNA from 1 species